UGGGCUGGAUUUGAUCAGAAAUUCAGAAUUAAAAAAGAACGAUAUAAUUAUGUGAUGUACAGGAGCUUUAUAAAUAAUUACUUGAUCUAAGUGAUUUACGAUAAUUCUGUAUUUAAUUUAAAAGGUGUGCACCAACAAUGUGGUAACUCUGUUUAUACGAAUACCAUCAAAAAAAUAUCAUUUUUACCACAACUUCAUCACGUUACCUGACCCAUUAGGUAUUCUCUUACUCAUCAUCACUAAUUUUAUUUUUUAGUAUAACAGUAACCACCAGAAGUGAAUUCAUCUAGCACAUCUACAGGUUUUCUGGGAGUGCAAGGCAGCAACAACUAGUCAAUCCAGGAUCAGGAGGUACCAUAAUUUUUUGUCAAGCUGUUCCAGGAAACCAUUUACUGUGUAAUGAUGAGAUCAAUUUACCACAAAAUGCUACCUGAUAAUACUCAACUGUAGGUAUCAGGUAAAAGUAUCAGGUGGCUGCUACAUUUACAAGUUCUUUCAUUCAUUAUCAGGGUCCAUGUUACAACAAAAGGUCAAUUUUUGAAUUGAGUCCGUUGUACAGUUAAAAUUGUAACAAUCUCGCUCUGCCAGAUUGGCUCAAUUACAAA